AUUCGGGAGAGAGGAGCGAGAGCGCGAAGCCCCGCGGACGCCCGGCCGGUGCCGGCGCUGCGGAGGGAAGACGAGCCCCGCAGACCUGCCAAGUCUCGCCCAUCUGGGGCUGCUGGAUCGCAACUUCGCCCCGGAGAGCGGGGUGGUGGUGGUGAGGGGAUGGAGGGAGGGCUGCUUGUUUUUUCAAACGACAUUUCAGGCGCUCACCCAGUCCUUUCCAUGGCCCCAAGCCGCAACUUACUCGAGUGGAAGGAAGCAAGGCCUCGCCAAAGAUGGUUGAGAAAGACCGUGAGCCUCUCUACCCAGGAUCUUGAAGCCAAGGCCUACAUGCUGGAAAGGCAGCCUUGCCCAAGGAAAGAGAAGGGUAGGGACCGAAGAAAGUGUUGUUUUAUGAACUCUAGAGCAUCACAGAAGAGCCAGAAAGUAUGGGGUUUGGGAGACCAGCAAAGAAUUCUUCAAGAACUAUGACAAGGCCUGUGGAGAACUGUGUAAGAUUUCCUACCCCUCUGUAACUUUUACAUCAUACUUGGGCUUCUUUGAAAGGAACUGAUGUUUGGACUUGUUUCCUACGCUCUAAGUCCAAGAGGAGGGGAAGAGAAAGAAGAGAAAGCUAGAAAAAUAUCUGAGAAAAGGAAAAGCAAUCAGGCUUAAUCCUUCCAGAUGGAGAAGAGAACACGCAGGAAAUGGAGACUCAGCUUCACCUGAGAACAGAUCUCAUUGUUUUCCGGUAGCAUAGAGACUUCCUGGGCACUAUGUGAAUUUUCAUCUUUGCAUCUGCCCCAACACCCCCACCAUCCACACCAGUUAGCACAAUGUCUUGCACAUCCCAUAGUUGAAAUUAACUUAUUUGUGAGUGAACUAAGGAAUGGAUAAUAAACCUACAGGCCCCUAAAAGUACGCAUGUCCAAAAAUAAACAGAAGAUCUUUUGGGGCUGGCCUGGUGGCUCAGGCGGUUGGAGCUCCAUGCUCCUAACUCCGAAGGCUGCCGGUUCGAUUCCCACAUGGGCCAGUGGGCUCUCAACCACAAGGAUGCUGGUUCAACUCCUGCAAUGGCAACUCGACCUGGAGCUGAGCUGUGCCCUCCACAACUAAGAUUGAAAGGAUAACAACUUGACUUGGAAAAAAGUCCUGGAAGUACACACUGUUCCCCAAUAAAGUCCUGUUCCCCUUCCCCAAUUAAAAAAAAAAAAAAAAAAGAUCUUUUGCACCGGA
rnacentral:lncRNA from 1 species